UACAGAGGUCUCAAGCGUUGUUCGGAUUCAUUGGGCGUAAAGGGUGCGUAGGUGGCGCUGUAAGUCGGGUGUGAAAUUUCGGAGCUUAACUCCGAAACUGCAUUCGAUACUGCGGUGCUUGAGGACUGGAGAGGAGACUGGAAUUCAUGGUGUAGCAGUGAAAUGCGUAGAGAUCAUGAGGAAGACCAGUGGCGAAGGCGGGUCUCUGGACAGUUCCUGACACUGAGACGCGAAAGCGUGGGGAGCGAACAGG
rnacentral:rRNA from 1 species